AUACUUUAAUUUUAGAAUCUUUCAUUUAUAUUAAAUCUUGUUGGAUUUCCAACUAUGGUGAUAAACGAAAUUCGAAAUAAACAUUUCGGACCAGGGGGCGGUACCCUGCACCUCCACCAAAUACAACUCAUGGGGGUGAAAUAGGCUCGACGGAUGUCUAAAGGCUUUUCUUUUACCCGGUAUUGUUCCGCCGCNAUGGGCUAAUUUAUAAAUGCUAACGAAAGUUAUGCGCUUGCUGCUUAAUUAACUUAGGUUAAUUUUGCAAACGGGGUCUGGGGCACCUGGCAACAGAACGCCCCCUCU
rnacentral:tmRNA from 1 species